rnacentral:rRNA from 1 species
CAGUGGCGAACGGGUGAGUAACACGUGGGAAAUCUGCCCUGCACUCUGGGACAAGCCUUGGAAACGAGGUCUAAUACCGGAUAUGACCUGUCCUCGCAUGGGGACGGGUGUAAAGCUCCGGCGGUGCAGGAUGAUCCCGCGGCCUAUCAGCUUGUUGGUGGGGUAAUGGCCUACCAAGGCGACGACGGGUAGCCGGCCUGAGAGGGCGACCGGCCACACUGGGACUGAGACACGGCCCAGACUCCUACGGGAGGCAGCAGUGGGGAAUAUUGCACAAUGGGCGAAAGCCUGAUGCAGCGACGCCGCGUGAGGGAUGACGGCCUUCGGGUUGUAAACCUCUUUCAGCAGGGAAGAAGCGCAAGUGACGGUACCUGCAGAAGAAGCACCGGCUAACUACGUGCCAGCAGCCGCGGUAAUACGUAGGGUGCGAGCGUUGUCCGGAAUUAUUGGGCGUAAAGAGCUCGUAGGCGGCCUGUCGCGUCGGAUGUGAAAGCCCGGGGCUUAACCCCGGGUCUGCAUUCGAUACGGGCAGGCUAGAGUGUGGUAGGGGAGAUCGGAAUUCCU